CGUCAUUGGUUUUCCAACUUUGCAGAAGCAAAAGAAUGUCUUGAACUGGAAUUGAGCGAAUUAAGAUAAAGUCAUGAUCACCUUUCAGUGGAAAACCACAGGCUAAGUUGCAGAAUUUUCAUUCUUUAGAGAUGAAAAUGAUAAGCUUCAACUGAAUUUUGACCGUGAAAAUAAUGGUUAUUGAAAGAGAUCUAAAAGCAAGAGGCGGUAUGAAGUUCAUGGGAAGUCAAACUUUCUGAACUCAAUCGCCAGAGAAGAAAUUACAGCAAAAAAGGCUUCAAAGGUCCCUUCCACUUGUUGAUCGAUGAACUUCAACAGCAAAUCCACCAACUUGAAAAUGAAAUAAUGUGAAAUCUGAUUGUAAAGCUCUUCAAUCGACAAUGAACGAAGGUUUGGCAUCAACAUGAACAGAAACGGUAACCUCACUUGAAGUUAAAGUUUUCAGUUUGAGGGCUUAAAAGAAGCCGCUGCAAGAAAACGU